CUAAAAUUUGGCAAAUGCCAUCUCUACCUCACAGGAGGGUCAUUCAAAAAAUAGGAAUAAAGGCUAAGUAGAAAACGAGAUGUGUCCGGAAAAAACUGCCGCAGGCAUUGAGAGUCUGGGCAAGACAGCGGGACAAAGCAAUAGGUGAGAGUGACCCCAGGCCCUCGGCCAUUGAACAACCUGCCUCUGAAGUAUGCUCAGGUGAAGGUUCUGCUUCUGGCCCAAGCGGAGCUUCUGGCCCACGGA
rnacentral:lncRNA from 1 species